GGUACUGCAUCUCAGUGCUAGAGGGGUCACUACAAACCCUGGUUCAAUUCCAGGCUGUAUCA
rnacentral:tRNA from 1 species